GCGACGGCAGCGACAAUUUUUCGUAAGAA
rnacentral:sRNA from 1 species